GGUUGCGAUCAUACCAGCACUAAUGCACCGGAUCCCAUCAGAACUCUGCAGUUAAGCGUGCUUGGGCAAGAGUAGUACUAGGAUGGGUGACCUCCUGGGAAGUCCUCGUGUUGCAACCC
rnacentral:rRNA from 1 species